rnacentral:rRNA from 1 species
AUGGGGGGCCUGGUCUCCAUUACGCAGCCAGCUUCGAUCGAAAACAAGAAGAAGAAUGCACGGACUCGGUGCUGCAUCAUGCUCGGUUCUCUCUUUUCCGGCGGGGCAGAGCCGACUGCUGGCCGCCGCGCGGACUACGCGGCUCCCUUCAAGACCAGAGGCGACGCUGCCAAAGAUGAUGGUAGCCGUUGGGUCGAGGAGACGAAGAUCCUCAUGACAGAUGAAGGUGGAGGCGGAAGCAGGAUGGUUCAGGGAUUCAUCGUCGACUCCGGGGCAUCGGUGCAUGCCACAGGCAACCGUGCGCUCCUGUCCUGGUACGAGUCGCUUCACACCGAUCGUUUCAUCCUUGGUGCCAGUGGGCACCGUCUGCGAGUAAGCGGCUCUGGAUCCGUGUGCACCGACAGAAUUAUCCUGAAUGACGUGCUCUACGUCCCGGGGCUGGAGAAGAGCGUGGUGUCCGUCGCCAAGCUCGCGGAGCUCAACUAUGGGGUGGACUUCGGCAAGACAGGAUGCUUCAUCAGGGACGAUCGUCAUACCCGCAACCUCGUCGGGAAAGGCAGGCGCGUCGCAGGGCUGUACCAGCUUGAUUACCUCAAGAUCCCGCUUGACAGGAAGACGGUUGCACAGGAGUAG